rnacentral:tRNA from 1 species
GGGAAUGUGGCUUAGUGGUAAAGUACUUGCCUAGCAUGCAUGAAAUCCUGGGUUUGAUACCCCAGUACCA